rnacentral:rRNA from 1 species
UGGGGAAUAUUGGGCAAUGGAUGAAAGUCUGACCCAGCGACGCCGCGUGAAUGAUGAAGGUCUUCGGAUUGUAAAGUUCUUUUAUACGGGAAGAGAAGAAGACGGUACCGUAUGAAUAAGUCCCGGCUAACUACGUGCCAGCAGCCGCGGUAAUACGUAGGGGACGAGCGUUGUCCGGAAUUACUGGGCGUAAAGGGCAUGUAGGCUGUUUAACAAGUCAGUAGUAAAAGAGUGAGGCUUAACCUUAUUGAGCUAUUGAGACUGUUAGACUGGAGUACUGAAGAGGCAAGGGGAAUUCCCGGUGUAGCGGUGAAAUGCGUAGAUAUCGGGAAGAACACCGGUGGCGAAGGCGACUUGCUGGUCAGUAACUGACGCUGAGGUGCGAAAGCCAGGGUAGCAAACG